rnacentral:rRNA from 1 species
UACGGAGGGGGCUAGCGUUGUCCGGAAUUAUUGGGCGUAAAGAGCUCGUAGGCGGUCUGUCGCGUCUGCUGUGAAAACUCGGGGCUUAACCCCGGGCCUGCAGUGGGUACGGGCAGACUAGAGUGCGGUAGGGGAGACUGGAAUUCCUGGUGUAGCGGUGAAAUGCGCAGAUAUCAGGAGGAACACCGGUGGCGAAGGCGGGUCUCUGGGCCGUAACUGACGCUGAGGAGCGAAAGCAUGGGGAGCGAACAGG